AUGUUACUGCUACUAAAUAGGCUGCAAGACCUUGAUUUUUUUUUUUAAUUCUGACCACUUGUUUCCCCUCUUGUAGGUUAACCCUCCAAAAAAAAAAAAAAAAAAAAAGCUUCUACAAUUUCUUCUAGGUCUGUCUUUAAUCCUCAUGAGUUAAGUAAAAUCUAAGAUUGUAGUUGAAAGGCCCAGGGGCCAUGGCCAACACGCCCCUAACUUAGACAGUAAAUGCCUGAAACUGUGUAAAGACAUGCUUAACAGAAACCUGAGAUCCAGAUCUCCAAAUCAGUUAGACCAGAACUCUUGUAUUCUGCCUCCUUACCAUUUCUACAUUCUUAGAGCCUUUUCAGCCCCUCUUUCCAGGGCCUGCUAUUCUCCCUAAAGAUUAAUUAUGCAGAAUAGUAAAGUUGGGGUCUGCGGGAAAGAAAUUACCUACAAACAAUGAUUUGACUCUGCAUAAGAUGAACCAAUUGUUAACUCUCCACACAGACACAAACCUAAAUUAUGGUCAUAAAUAAUGCUUCGUUUUGAUAUGUAUGUGUUUAAAGAUUCAAGCCAGCAACUUAUUUUCUAAUAAGUCUGGGAUGUCUUGAUGAGUAGAUGUUGACUGCCUUAAAAAGAAACUUUAAAAAAGUAUACUGUUUUCUUCAGAGUUUAUGAUUCAACAAAAGAAUCUACUUAUAAUUACAGUCCUUUCCUAUGAGUAUUAGGUGUUAUCUGUGAAUCACAUGCAGAUUUUCCUCUUGGAGUUUUUUUUCCCAAAAAGAUAACUUUAGGUUUGAGCUCUGCCGGUAUCAAUUUCCAGUGGAGGGGAAAGGUAAAAAACAGAAUGUUCCAAAAUGUAGGGCAUAUCAGAACUCCACCAAAUGGGGUAUUCAUUCACUCAAAUCUUACCAGAAAUGGUAAAUCUACAUGUAAUUGUGAGUGAAUUGCAGAGAGGUAAACAUAACUUCUAAGACCAUAGGCUAACAGCAGUUCUGUUCACGCCAAUUCCUUCUAUCUCGAGUUAUAAAGCAUUGAGACACAUAGAGUAGAAAGGCAACCAUCUAUACAGUCUGGUCAAUGAGUAAAGGGACUCACAGAUAAUCUUAGCAUGUUGAUUAGUAUUUACCUACUGUUGUUUAAAAAGAGAAGAAGAAAUUCUAAAAAAAAAAAUUUGUAACAGAAACAGGACUAUCAAACAUAAACCUUAUCAGUUAUGGUCAAAUUAUGCCCCCCUGGAUACACUUCAAAAUACAGGCUUGGUUUUUCUGUGCACAUUUUGCAAAUGGGGGGUUGUCUUUUAUCACAUCCUCUAAAAUACAAACAAUAAAAAAGAAAUUUUAAGAGAAAAACACCUCUGAAAAUCAUUUGUUUUACUAAAUUCUGAGAAACAGAUUUUGAAUUUUUAAAACUACCUCCCUUCCACAUCCUAAUGGCCUUCCUUCAAAGCUGCUUAUAGUUAGAAAUGAAAGAUACCACAUUUUUAUGUUUGGACUGGUGUUGAUGGAAUAUUUGAUAUACUUUUCAUGUGACACUCCUAACUCUAAAGUAUGUUAUUUUACUGUAAAGAAUGUUAUUUUACACUAUUUUGCUUUUUUGUGAUUCAAAACCCUUAUAUGCCAUAUUGAAGUAUAUAAUCCUCUUAUUGUAAAAUUUAUCAUGUAAUACAAGUGAUAAUCAUUAUUUAAUGACUUAUGAUCUAAUCAUAUCUAAUUUCAAUAUAAUUAUGUCAAUGUCUGUAAAGCAAAGCUAAAUCUAUAUAAUCAUGUAUGUAAUCAUAUUUCUGUUGAAACUGUGAAUGUUGUGACUUUCCCUUUAAUCUUUGUCUACAAGUGAUAGUGUAUGUCAUUGUAUAACUGACUUGGGAUGCUAGUGUGUUUACAGUACAAUUCACCAGUGGUUGAAAUGUCAACCCUUUGGCUUGGCUUCUUGUGAUCCCCGAGUGUUCUCUGCACCUUGAGACUUGCUUUUGUGCUUUGUGCUCUGUCAUUAAUUUUAAACAAUGUAAGAGUCUCUUGUAUAAACCAAAGUAAUCAGCCCACUGAGUGAUCAUGCCUUCUGUAAAGCCAUAUUGAAGUAAAGACUCCGCUGUAGCAUAAGGUCCCCUGUCUCCAGAGCUGCCACUACCUCGCUCCUGCUCUUUCCCUACAAAAUGCCAAACAAAGUUUAACCCUUAAGUGGAAUAUUAGAUGUGCUUGCUAUUAUUGUCAUUUUUAACCUGAUAAUAAACCUUCUAAUUCAUUACUUUGCAGAUGUAUGCUAGGUUUUAUGAAUAACCAUUUUCACAUUUUGAUAUUUUGUAGACAUUGCCUGAUGAGCAAAGUUCAAAAAGAGUACACACUCAGUCAUCAGAUUUAAAAAAAUAAUCACAGAGUGCAGGUGUUUUUCCUGUCAGUGAGUCACCUCAAGUUGGGUGGCCAAAGCAACUAUAACCUUGGUCACUAUAGCUGAAAUACCCAACUCAGUGCCUGGCUCAAAGAUGUUUAUCCCCUUGGUCUCCCUUGGUUCUCAUUUUUUUUUAAUUAGGUAUUUAUUUCAUUUACAUUUCCAAUGCUAUCCCAAAGUCCCACACAUGGUCCUCCACCUACUCCCUCAACCACCCACUCUCACUUCUUGGCCCUGGAGUUCCCCUGUACUGAGGCAUAUAAAGUUUGCACAAUCAAUGGGCCUCUCUUUCCACUGAUGGCAGACUAGGCCAUCUUCUGAUACAUAUGCAGCUAGAGACAAAAGCUCCGGGGGUAUUUAGUUCAUAUUGUUGUUCCACCUAUAGGGUUGCAGAUCUCCCCAGCUCCUUGGGUAUUUUCUCUAGCUCCUCCAUUGGGGGCCCUGUGAUCCGUCCAAUAGUUGACUUCUGUGUUUGCUAGGCCCCAGCAUAGUCUCACAAGAGACAGCUAUAUCUUGGUCCUUUUUUGUUGCUGUUGUUUGAAAUGCAAAUGAACAGAAUCACUUGGAUGUGGAUGAAGUGAGUUUUCUAAUUUUUGGCUGUCAGAUCUGUAAUCAUAAAUUUGCAAUUUCAUUUCCCCAAACUCCCAAAAAAUAAAUAUCCUCUUUACUUGAUUUUAAUCAUCAAAUAUCUAGUGGUAUUGAAAGAGUCAGCCAUUUAUCAGAAACAAUCUUGUUUUGAACUUAAAGACUCAUUUCUAUGUCUCACUACUGUGAUAUCGACUUUUUCUUUAGUAUUAAAGGGUGAUAUGAUGCUAAACUCUUAUGAUUUAUCCUCCUACAUUUUUUACUCUGCAAAUCUUGGGUUAUUGCACAUUGUACUUCCUAGUUUUUAUGAAUUUAUUCACUUGUCUCCAUCCACUUUGUAGGGACAACAUGGACAGUUAAAUCUUUGUCAGUUAUAUGAACAUAAUGCUAAUUUCUCUCAUAUUUUUAUUGCAUGCUAAAAAUAAUGCUUGCCAAAUGGAAUCUUAGACAUCCCAGAAUAAUAUGGUCACUAUAUUUCUAUUUCUGUCAUUAUUGAAAAUACCCAGCUCAGUGCCUGGCUCAAUAAAUGUUUGUUUUCCUGGC
rnacentral:lncRNA from 1 species